rnacentral:rRNA from 1 species
UACGUAGGGACCAAGCGUGUUCGGAUUUACUGGGCGUAAAGGGCGCGUAGGCGGCGUGUUAAGUCACUUGUGAAAUCUCUAAGCUUAACUUAGAACGGUCAAGUGAUACUGACGUGCUAGAGUGCAGAAGGGGCAACCGGAAUUCUUGGUGUAGCGGUGAAAUGCGUAGAUAUCAAGAGGAACACCUGAGGUGAAGACGGGUUGCUGGGCUGACACGUGACGCUGAGGCGCGAAAGCUAGGGUAGCAAACGGG